AACGCACAUUGCGCCCCCUGGCAUUCCGGGGGGCAUGCCUGUCCGAGCGUCAUUUCUGCCCUCAAGCACGGCUUGUGUGUUGGGUGCGGUCCCCCCGGGGACCUGCCCGAAAGGCAGCGGCGACGUCCGUCUGGUCCUCGAGCGUAUGGGGCUCUGUCACUCGCUCGGGAAGGACCUGCGGGGGUUUUGGUCACCAACCACAUCUUUUACAAGGUUGACCUCGGAUCAGGUAGGAGUUACCCGCUGAACUUAA
rnacentral:misc_RNA from 1 species